rnacentral:tRNA from 2 species
GGGCCCGUAGCCUAGCUGGAUAGGGCGACAGCCUCCUAAGCUGUAGAUCGUGGGUUCGAAUCCCACCGGGUCCG